UAAGGAAUAUUGGUCAAUGGACGCAAGUCUGAACCAGCCAUGCCGCGUGGAGGAUGAAGGUCCUCUGGAUUGUAAACUUCUUUUAUCUGGGACGAAACACUUCUUUUCUAAGAGGCCUGACGGUACCAGAUGAAUAAGCACCGGCUAACUCCGUGCCAGCAGCCGCGGUAAUACGGAGGGUGCAAGCGUUAUCCGGAUUCACUGGGUUUAAAGGGUGCGUAGGUGGGUAUGUAAGUCAGUGGUGAAAUCCCCGAGCUUAACUUGGGAACUGCCAUUGAUACUAUAUAUCUUGAAUACCGUAGAGGUAAGCGGAAUAUGUCAUGUAGCGGUGAAAUGCUUAGAUAUGACAUGGAACACCAAUUGCGAAGGCGGCUUACUAUGCGGUGAUUGACACUGAGGCACGAAAGCGUGGGUAGCAAACA
rnacentral:rRNA from 1 species